UCAUCAGGUAGCUCUGCAUAGAAGAAAAGCGACACCAGGGCCUAACCUCCGUACUUGGACCCGUCGGCCGUGACGGCGUUGAGGGAGAGGCUGGUCUGGAUGUACCCGGGGCUGACGACGGUCACCUCGAUGUCAUGCCGCUCCACCUCGGCCCGCAGGCAGUCGAAGAAGGCCUGGGUCGCGUGUUUGGAGGCCGCGUCUGCAAAGGUCGGUGGCCAGAGAGGCAGGUACCUACGCGGGAUGCGACACAGAAGGCACAUGUGUACGGACGUGGCCUCACGCUGUGCCUGUUUCCGUGCCACUCCUGCACGUAGCUCUCUCCAGCGGGGGACAGACGGGGCGGCUGCCAUGCUCCUUGUGGUCACAGGCCACAUUGCGACAGUGCGUCCAGGGAGGCUCCCUGCACGUGCAGGAGCGUGUGUACAAACCCACCUCUGGCCGCCUCACGUCUUUUGUCUGACAGCUUCUACAGGAUGGCCUUUCACCUGGAAGAGCUGUCCGGGCCCCCUCCGCUCCCCAGCAACAGCCUCACUGCACGGCGUCAGGUGCUCUGAGGGGACAGAGGAACCCUACGAUGGCACUGCUGGGAAACAGCAUCUCCACUGACGGUUUCCAGAUUUGGAGUGCACACGUUCGAGCCUGAGGAAAGGGCAUCCCUCAGCCACAUAACUGUAGGCCCUGUGAGCAGCCCUAGAGCGUCCGGACCCUGCAGAGCCUCUGGAGGACCGGCCUGGCCGAACGAACGCUCUGCGGGUGGGUGGCUCGAGACACGCUCCUACCAGCCGUGAUUCCAGAGGCACGGCCCAGGCCGGGGCCCGAGAGGACUGAGCCAGCUGGGGGCCUCCCUGACCCCCGGUCUCCACAGCUCUCGGGCUGUGUGUAGGUCCGCGGCCAGGCCGUGCUAACCUCAACGCCGUGACUGUGGUCCCCAGGGCUCCACGUGCCCCACACCCCUCCUGGAUCCUCCCACUCGGCCUCACAACAGCCCCGAGAGGUACACGAAGCCACCCCCACUUCACGAGUGGGGAGACUGCUGCCCGUUGGGUUGGCUGACGUGCCCGGGAGGCACCGCCUUGUCCGGCCUGGUGGUUAUAAAGCACCCAGAACAACCAAGUGUGACCUACGCAGUCACAGCCAAGAGGAGGACAAAACUCAGUGGGACUAAAUCCAAGUGAAGUUUGGAAAUAAUUCAGUACAAAGAACUCCUUGACCCUGUAAAUCCUUUUCCCUGUUAUUGCCUCAUCUGCUCUGUCACAUGUGAUGCCUGCAUAUCUAUUCCUCAGGCGGCUGUCCUGCGCCAGCGAAGUGAAACAGAAAACUGGCAAAGGGAAAUAACCACCCCAGAAACAAGCACGGAUACGGCGGGUGUCUCACGUUGUCUUGAGCACGGCCGUGGAGACUGUCUGAUGACAUGAGGGGGCAGUGCGGGCUCAGACGAGUCCCACGGCCGACCCAGACACACAGCCGGCACCAGGAGGACGGCUGCGCUGCGUUCGGGCUGACGGGUGGUUCCCAGUCGUCCAGCUGGGUGUGCGUGGCCGUCCGUUCACGGUGCGGAGGCGGCUUCGCCCCUCCCCUCCCUUCCCGUGGCUAUGUUGAGCAUCUGGAGAGGGGGAGACUGUUACAGCUGAGUGUUUCCUUGCAGAUGGUGGAGCAAAGAAUGCAGUUCCCAGGACAGUUCGUGAAAUCACCUUUCAAAUCUUUUAACAAAAGUAGAAUCUGCUUGCUGGUGCUCGUGAUGGCGCAAUCUCAACAUUCUGGCGUAGCCAUUCAUGCAGGGAGGUGAGAGUCGGAACUGAAGUCAAGCUGGCAGCGUUCCUGUUUUGGUCCUAUGUCCACUUUUUGGAACUAAUCUUACUGAAACCCUCCCAUGAGCGCCCAGAGAUAAAAAUACUGAAGGAUGCUGUACACAGCACAUCACUGCUACUGGUCACCGACUGAAGGGACGCAAAUCCUCACGUGUCACGAAAACUACUAAGGAAAUUAUGCCACAUCCAUUCGAUUAAUGACUGUAUAUCCACUUAAAGGAACUAGGGAGAAAACAAUAAAGGAAACGUGGGAAGGAGAAGGAAGUACUCACACGCGGAUCGGAAAGGAACGCUGAUUUUGCCCUGGAUACUGCUGAUGGCGACAACGUGGCCCUGGCGCCUUCUGAUCAUAGAGGGCAGGAGCGCUGUGGGGAGAGGGCAGAGGUCACUGCAGCUCAUGCUGAGAGCCUCGGGGGGGGACUGUCUGCUGGAACUCUUAGCCCCCUGCGCCCAGGAGGGGAGGGAGGGCCUCUCCCUGGAGUGAGAACCGUGGCUGGACGUCAGAAGGCCCCACUCUGUAGGUGUGCAGACACAGUGGAAAGACAUGGAGCCAACACUGUGCAGAUGAGGCUGUUGCUGAGGAGAACAUCUCGACGUAAGACCGUAAAGCAGUUGAAGAAAAUGCAAAUAAAAGCCCAGAAAAGCCAACACCCAGGCUGUAAGGACAGCACUGACUCCAGGGUCAAACGGAUGGGACAGGCCAGGUCUAGGAAGAAGGAACCAAGGGAAAUACAAAGAAUACCGACGUGCCUGUGCUCGUCUUCCUUUCCACCCAAGACGGUUACCUUUCGUCAGAGCAACUGGACCAAAGUAGUUUGUCUCCAUGACUCUCCUGUCCACGUCCAGGCUGGUGUCCACAAUGGUGCCGCGGUAGCUGAUCCCAGCGUUGUUGAUGAGCACGUCCACAUAGCCAAAGCACUGCAGGAUCUCCGCAGCAGCCCCCACUAUGGCCCCAGGGUCCGUGAGGUCGAAGGUCACCGUGUAAGGCUUGUGAGUCUGCACCUGGGCGAGGACAGAAGCCAAACGCAGCUUCAGAGCGACGGGCGUGGGAGCCACAGGCCCUGCUUCUCAGUGCUGGGAGGGCCUGGCCGUGAAGGGACAGGUCACAACACUUCUCCUCUGAAGGAUGUGACCUGGAGGAGCCUGCCAACCCUGUCACACCUGACCUGGGCAGCCUUUCUCCUUAACUGACUGUAACUGCCACGGGGCAGGGGUCACGUAUGACAGAAGCAUGGCUCCCCUGGCCGCCCUGUGCCAGCCUGGCGCUGCACUGUCCUACGUCACAGAGCUGCUAUCCUUCUCAGGCCAGAUCAGUUUCAUUCUUCAUUCACAAAACAUUUUUAUAUGCCCCUAUAUGCUCAACACUGGGGACAUGGCAGAAAGCAAGACAGACGUGCUUCUGUCCUCCUAAAGCAUGCAGUCUUGUGGGGGAGACAGACAAAUUCUGUAAUUGAAGAGAAUGACGAGCCAAGCAGUCUAACUCAGGGGCCGUCGCAGAAUCUAAGAAGAUGAGGGAGGGGACGUGGAGUCAGAGGGAGGGGACGUGGAUUCAGAGGGAGCACGGAGAAGGAAGUGCCUGGAGCCCUGCCUCUGCCUAGACAGCUGCACUGGCAGCAACUCUCUGGAGUGAAAUGACGUCAUGACUCUGGAGUCUGUCUGAACGCCUGCAGCUUCCAGGGGAGUGCUCGGCUGACAAAGUAUAGACAAUUUUGGCCAAUUUCAACCAUUAGCUCCAUGGUGGGCCCACCCCUGUGGUGGGCAGCUGUGGGAAAGGCAACCCGCAUUUCUCUUGCGGCUUGAAGGAGCCAAGGUAGACAAUAAGGACCUUGUCUUCCACAUACCAGGACUGCAUUCUGAUGGUGGAUGCUGUUCUGAUCACCGAGCUGCAGCAUGGAAGCAGGCUGCACUCUUUUAACCACCACCUGCUGAAGUGGCUUCCAGUAGGUUUAAUGGAGUUGCACUUGCCUUCUGGUAUUCAAAAAUGUAGAUAAAUCCCCAGAAAAACAUUCCUCAGGAA